GAGCAUGGCCAGCGCUCAUUCCUCAUCACCCCUCCACCCAUGCAGCUCGAGUGCCAAUGCCCCAGGAUGCUGGAACUCACAGGCUGGAUUUUGCCCUGCUGUGACCUCUGAGAGCCUGUCAGGGCUGAGAUGCAGCCCCAACAGAAGUAGCUGCGUCACCAGUACACCUAGGGGUGAUGACCGGGUCCCGAACUCUCCAGAGCUUGGCGUUAGGCUGCUGAAGAUUCAGGUCCCGUUCAGAAGUCGGCACAAGAUUCAUCUUGGUAAACCUCAGAAGAGGAAAAAUUGUGCAAAUCUGAGAUUUUCCCCUGCCACUCCUCACGUCUCCCUCGCCUUCUCUUGUUCAUCUCUCUCCUCUCUUGUAGCUGAGACAGGCUGUCUAGACACUGCAGAUGUGGACAGAUGUUGGGUCUGUAAUUUAUAACAACGGCCUCCAGAAGGCAAUUCCAAUUUGUUUCGGUAAGGCUUUGAGUUACAGGCAGAAAAAAUAUCCUGUAAAUACUGUUGACUUACA
rnacentral:lncRNA from 1 species